rnacentral:tRNA from 1 species
GCCGGGGUGGUGGAACUGGUAGACACAGGGGACUUAAAAUCCCCCGGCCCCAUAGGCUGUGCGGGUUCGAGUCCCGCCCCCGGCACC